GGCGGUGUUUUAGACCUCUCAGGGGAACCUGUCUCGUAAUCGACAAUCCGCGUUAAACCUAACCCUUUAUAGCAAUUCAGCCUGUAUACCGUCGUCGCCAGGUAACUUCUUAAAAUAUAGUAGUUAGCUUGAAAAUUAUAUUAAUUAAAACGUCAGAUCAAGGUGCAGCUAAUAAAAGGGAGAGGAUGGGUUACAAUUACAUAUUUGUAAUUACGGCAAAAUGCUUGAAAUAAAGUGUUUAUGAAGGAGG
rnacentral:rRNA from 1 species